UCCCCCCGUCGCUCUGACUGUCAAAUACCAACAAUCCCACAUUGACCCCUUCCCCCCGAUUCUCCAACGCGGGUCUGAGAUCUGUGCCCCUGGAUCCCCCCGUCGCUCUGACUAUCAAAUACCAACAAUCCCACAUUGACCCCUUCCCCCCGAUUCUCCAACGCGGGUCUGAGAUCUGUGCCCCUGGCGCCCCCUUGUCUCUGCUGGCGUCUGUCACUGACUGAACCUGCCCCGAGAUCCCCCUGUCGCUCUGACUAUCAAAUACCAACAAUCCCACAUUGACCCCUUCCCCCCGAUUCUCCAACGCGGGUCUGAGAUCUGUGCCCCUGGCGCCCCCUUGUCUCUGCUGGCGUCUGUCACUGACUGAACCUGCCCCGAGAUCCCCCCGUCGCUCUGACUAUCAAAUACCAACAAUCCCACAUUGACCCCUUCCCCCCGAUUCUCCAACGCGGGUCUGAGAUCUGUGCCCCUGGCGCCCCCUUGUCUCUGCUGGCGUCUGUCACUGACUGAACCUGCCCCGAGAUCCCCCCGUCGCUCUGACUAUCAAAUACCAACAAUCCCACAUUGACCCCUUCCCCCCGAUUCUCCAACGCGGGUCUGAGAUCUGUGCCCAUGGCGCCCCCUUGUCUCUGCUGGCGUCUGUCACUGACUGAACCUGCCCCGAGAUCCCCCCGUCGCUCUGACUAUCAAAUACCAACAAUCCCACAUUGACCCCUUCCCCCCGAUUCUCCAACGCGGGUCUGAGAUCUGUGCCCCUGGCGCCCCCUUGUCUCUGCUGGCGUCUGUCACUGACUGAACCUGCCCCGAGAUCCCCCCGUCGCUCUGACUAUCAAAUACCAACAAUCCCACAUUGACCCCUUCCCCCCGAUUCUCCAACGCGGGUCUGAGAUCUGUGCCCCUGGCGCCCCCUUGUCUCUGCUGGCGUCUGUCACUGACUGAACCUGCCCCGACAUCCCCCCGUCGCUCUGACUAUCAAAUACCAACAAUCCCACAUUGACCCCUUCCCCCCGAUUCUCCAACGCGGGUCUGAGAUCUGUGCCCCUGGCGCCCCCUUGUCUCUGCUGGCGUCUGUCACUGACUGAACCUGCCCCGAGAUCCCCCCGUCGCUCUGACUAUCAAAUACCAACAAUCCCACAUUGACCCCUUCCCCCCGAUUCUCCAACGCGGGUCUGAGAUCUGUGCCCUUGGCGCCCCUUGUCUCUGCUGGCGUCUGUCACUGACUGAACCUGCCCCGCGAUCCCCCCGUCGCUCUGACUAUCAAAUACCAACAAUCCCACAUUGACCCCUUCCCCCCGAUUCUCCAACGCGGGUCUGAGAUCUGUGCCCCUGGCGCCCCCUUGUCUGUGCUGGCGUCUGUCACUGACUGAACCUGCCCCGCGAUCCCCCCGUCGCUCUGACUAUCAAAUACCAACAAUCCCACAUUGACCCCUUCCCCCCGAUUCUCCAACGCGGGUCUGAGAUCUGUGCCCCUGGCGCCCCCUUGUCUCUGCUGGGGUCUGUCACUGACUGAACCUGCCCCGAGAUCCCCCCGUCGCUCUGACUAUCAAAUACCAACAAUCCCACAUUGACCCCUUCCCCCCGAUUCUCCAACGCGGGUCUGAGAUCUGUGCCCCUGGCGCCCCCUUGUCUGUGCUGGCGUCUGUCACUGACUGAACCUGCCCCGAGAUCCCCCCGUCGCUCUGACUAUCAAAUACCAACAAUCCCACAUUGACCCCUUCCCCCCGAUUCUCCAACGCGGGUCUGAGAUCUGUGCCCCUGGCGCCCCCUUGUCUCUGCUGGCGUCUGUCACUGACUGAACCUGCCCCG
rnacentral:lncRNA from 1 species